UACGUAGGGUGCAAGCGUUGUCCGGAAUUAUUGGGCGUAAAGAGCUCGUAGGCGGUUUGUCGCGUCGAAUGUGAAAACCCGGGGCUCAACCCCGGGCCUGCAUUCGAUACGGGCAGACUAGAGUUCGGUAGGGGAGUCUGGAAUUCCUGGUGUAGCGGUGAAAUGCGCAGAUAUCAGGAGGAACACCGGUGGCGAAGGCGGCCCCCUGGGCCGUACCUGACGCUGAGGCGCGAAGGCUAGGGGAGCGAACGGG
rnacentral:rRNA from 1 species